UACGUAGGGCGCAAGCGUUGUCCGGAAUUAUUGGGCGUAAAGAGCUCGUAGGCGGCCAGUUGCGUCUGCUGUGAAAUCCCGGGGCUCAACCCCGGGCGUGCAGUGGAUACGGGCUGGCUAGAGGCAGGGCAGGGGAGAACGGAAUUCCCGGUGUAGCGGUGAAAUGCGCAGAUAUCGGGAGGAACACCGGUGGCGAAGGCGGUCUCUGGGCCUGACCUGG
rnacentral:rRNA from 1 species